rnacentral:rRNA from 1 species
CAGUAGCCGCGGUAAUACGUAGGGUGCAAGCGUUAAUCGGAAUUACUGGGCGUAAAGCGUGCGCAGGCGGUUUGUUAAGACAGAUGUGAAAUCCCCGGGCUCAACCUGGGAACUGCAUUUGUGACUGGCAGGCUAGAGUAUGGCAGAGGGGGGUGGAAUUCCGCGUGUAGCAGUGAAAUGCGUAGAUAUGCGGAGGAACACCGAUGGCGAAGGCAGCCCCCUGGGCCAAUACUGACGCUCAUGCACGAAAGCGUGGGGAGCAAACGGGAUUAGAUACCCGAGUAGUCCCUGUCUCUUAUAC